rnacentral:rRNA from 1 species
AGUGAACGCUGGCGGUAGGCCUAACACAUGCAAGUCGAACGGCAGCACAGUAAGAGCUUGCUCUUACGGGUGGCGAGUGGCGGACGGGUGAGGAAUACAUCGGAAUCUACUUUUUCGUGGGGGAUAAGGUAGGGAAACUUACGCUAAUACCGCAUACGCCCUACGGGUGAAAGCAGGGGAACUUCGGACCUUGCGCGAUUGAAUGAGCCGAUGUCGGAUUAGCUAGUUGGCGGGGUGAAGGCCCACCAAGGCGACGAUCCGUGGCUGGUCUGAGAGGAUGAUCAGCCACACUGGAACUGGGACACGGUCCAGACUCCUACGGGAGGCAGCAGUGGGGAAUAUUGGACAAUGGGCGCAAGCCUGAUCCAGCCAUACCGCGUGGGUGAAGAAGGCCUUCGGGUUGUAAAGCCCUUUUGUUGGGAAAGAAAAGCAGCAGGUUAAUACCCCGCUGUUCUGACGGUACCCAAAGAAUAAGCACCGGCUAACUUCGUG